rnacentral:rRNA from 1 species
UACGUAGGUGACAAGCGUUGUCCGGAUUUACUGGGCGUAAAGAGCGCGCAGGCGGUCGAUCAAGUCGAGUGUGAAAGCCCCCGGCUCAACUGGGGAGGGUCAUUCGAUACUGGUCGACUCGAAGGCAGGAGAGGGUAGUGGAAUUCCCGGUGUAGUGGUGAAAUGCGUAGAUAUCGGGAGGAACACCAGUGGCGAAGGCGACUACCUGGCCUGUUAUUGACGCUGAGGCGCGAAAGCUAGGGGAGCAAACGGG